rnacentral:rRNA from 1 species
UACGAAGGUCCCAGGCGUUAUCCGGAUUUAUUGGGUUUAAAGGGUGCGUAGGCGGAUUAUUAAGUCAGUGGUGAAAGCCCCAGGCCCAACCUGGGAAUUGCCAUUGAUACUGAUGAUCUUGAGUACAUUUGAGGUAGGCGGAAUGUGUCAUGUAGCGGUGAAAUGCUUAGAUAUGACACAGAACACCAAUUGCGUAGGCAGCUUACUAAACUGUAACUGACGCUGAGGCACGAAAGCGUGGGGAGCAAACAGG